GUGCCCAGGGGGUCUUCGGGAAGCAAACUGCCAAGCAGGAAGCAGCUGAAGCCCCAGCUGUGAGCUGCAGGCCAGAGAGGCAGGUCUCAGUGGCUCCAGCUUUGCAGCAAGUGAGAACUGACAGGCACGGUGGAGCCCCUCCUCCUUCUGAGUGACACUCCCAUCAAACAUGCAGACGCACAAGGUACACGCCAGAUGCCACACUUGGGGCACCUGUAGGAUUCCAAUGAACUCACCAGUAAUAGAGCAAGAAGCAGAAGUUGGGCACAGUAACCGUGAGCUGCAGCCACCUCCAGUGAGGAAUCACGUAUGCCACCCCAGCAAGUACCAGGAGCCCAAUCGUAAAGGC